rnacentral:rRNA from 1 species
AUGAGUGUGCCCAAUUCGGUGUCUACGCUGAAUCACUUUGUCACACCACCCAUAAGCGCAAGCAUGUUUGGUCUUCCACCGAAUUAUGGUUCAGCGCCCAUCCCACAAGUUGCACCAAUAGCUAGUACUCAGGUUGCUCCUAUGUCAUUACCACAAACAUUUUCAUCUACCUCGGAUCCAAUUUUAGCUAAAUUAAGGGAGGAUUUGCAUAAGAUGUUUCUAAAAACUUUCGGAAACGAGCCGAAAGUAAAGAGCCGUGUGUACCAAAAGCCUUAUCCUGAACACUUCAAUGCAAUUUCUUACCCUCAAGGUUAUAAGGUUCCUGAUUUUGUUAAACUAGAUAAUUCCCCGCGCGUUGCAGCAGAUAAAUAA